rnacentral:lncRNA from 1 species
CUUGGGAAAGGAGCCUGCGCCAAAGCCCGUCAAAAGACGAUCGUGAGCACAACACGGAGACCCACUCGAGCAAAGGGAUCGAGUGGCUCUGUGGCGGUCUGUCGUUGCCACGACGUGUGCGCGCAGCUGUUGAAAUGUCCGGCUGCCCACACUCAACUUGGCAGAGAACAAGCAGCAGGGUGAACGCGGUAUGUGCUCACGCGCGAAGCCUGGCUCC